GUGUGCACCAGUUUAUACCAUAGACGGUCGCCUCCCAUAGCAACCAGUCGGCGAACUACCUCGUACCGGCCUGGUGAAAAUCCGCGUCAGCCAUACAGAUCAUCUAGCUUGCUAUAUACUGCAACAUCACUCCGUUCACCUGCAUUACUGACAAGUUCCUCCCUGACAAGCUCUUCUUUGCUACAAGAUCAGUGUUCUGUGAAAGAUGGAUAAACUUCUUUGCGGCCUACUCACUAGUAUGCAGCCUCUUAGGGAACACGUCCACAUGGAUUUAAUAAUUUUU